rnacentral:rRNA from 1 species
GCUCCACCGGAAAAAGAAGAGUGGCGAACGGGUGAGUAACACGUGGGUAACCUGCCCAUCAGAAGGGGAUAACACUUGGAAACAGGUGCUAAUACCGUAUAACAAUCAAAACCGCAGGUUUUGAUUUGAAAGGCGCUUUCGGGUGUCGCUGAUGGAUGGACCCGCGGUGCAUUAGCUAGUUGGUGAGGUAACGGCUCACCAAGGCCACGAUGCAUAGCCGACCUGAGAGGGUGAUCGGCCACAUUGGGACUGAGACACGGCCCAAACUCCUACGGGAGGCAGCAGUAGGGAAUCUUCGGCAAUGGACGAAAGUCUGACCGAGCAACGCCGCGUGAGUGAAGAAGGUUUUCGGAUCGUAAAACUCUGUUGUUAGAGAAGAACAAGGAUGAGAGUAACUGUUCAUCCCUUGACGGUAUCUAACCAGAAAGCCACGGCUAACUACGUGCCAGCAGCCGCGGUAAUACGUAGGUGGCAAGCGUUGUCCGGAUUUAUUGGGCGUAAAGCGAGCGCAGGCGGUUUCUUAAGUCUGAUGUGAAAGCCCCCGGCUCAACCGGGGAGGGUCAUUGGAAACUGGGAGACUUGAGUGCAGAAGAGGAGAGUGGAAUUCCAUGUGUAGCGGUGAAAUGCGUAGAUAUAUGGAGGAACACCAGUGGCGAAGGCGGCUCUCUGGUCUGUAACUGACGCUGAGGCUCGAAAGCGUGGGGAGCAAACAGGAUUAGAUACCCUGGUAGUCCACGCCGUAAACGAUGAGUGCUAAGUGUUGGAGGGUUUCCGCCCUUCAGUGCUGCAGCUAACGCAUUAAGCACUCCGCCUGGGGAGUACGACCGCAAGGUUGAAACUCAAAGGAAUUGACGGGGGCCCGCACAAGCGGUGGAGCAUGUGGUUUAAUUCGAAGCAACGCGAAGAACCUUACCAGGUCUUGACAUCCUUUGACCACUCUAGAGAUAGAGCUUCCCCUUCGGGGGCAAAGUGACAGGUGGUGCAUGGUUGUCGUCAGCUCGUGUCGUGAGAUGUUGGGUUAAGUU